GCUGUGUAGACUAAAAUACAAAGGGAAAUGACUGAGGCAUGCCAUUAAAUUAGACUAAUUAUGAUCAGCAGUUUAAGACAAGUGGGAAUCUUAUUACUGAUGUCAAUUGGCUGCAGAUCAGGCUCUAAGGGAUCUCACCUACUUCAUAGGCUGCCUUUCCUCGUUUACUCCAACUGCUUUGAAUUAAUCUGAUGACCCAAUGCAUCCACCACAAGGAUACAAAAUACCCGUUAAUGUAGCUUAACUGGUUGGUUAAGUCAGGUUUAUGGCUCCUUUGUGUUGCUCAAGCAUUGUAAAACAUCCAGAACAUAUCAAGUUUAAAAGCUAUAGAGACAGAUUUUUAAACACAUAUAAACAUAUGCAGUGGUGGAAUAUGAAGAUGUCUGGAAUCGGAAAAUUACAGAACUCCAGAGCUUGAAGCAGAAUCCAUCUUAAACUACUGGAAGCCAGCUCUCAGCUUUACUGGCGAGGUUUCAUAUUGUUAAGUUAUGAGACAUUAAUUCAUUGGUGGGAAUAUGAGUUAUAUUUCUCCCUUAGUUGCACGUGUCUCAGGAUAGGGGAAAAGUAGGAGAAAAGUUUUGUCAAUGUGAGGAUUUCUACACGCUAUUUGUGUUUUAUUCACUGCAAUCCAUUAUUAAUUCCUACAUUCCUAAAACUUCCAGCAAUGUUGAAACCAGCACUUUCAACUUCAGCCUGAGCCAUAGGAUCUAUUAAGUGAGGCCUUUGAAAUCUCUACAUUUGAAACCGCUCUCAAAUCAGACAAUCUGGUAAAUCUCCCUAGCCUGUGAAUGUGUCUGUGAAAAGGCUUAUUUUCAAAGAAAUACAUUUUUUCCUCCGUGUUGAGAGUGGCUUCAGACUGAGUGCUGAUACUUUAGAGGUUUCAAACAGUCAGCUGUGGCUGAGGCUGAAUUUGAGGUCCUAUUUUCAACAAAGAGUAAAACUUUGAGUUCCUGAGACUUUCAGUUAUUUUAAAAUUAAUAUUAAAUUGCAUGCUCUGAUACAGCAUGUGGAAAAGUGUAAUUUUUUUUUUUGUCGUUGCUGUUGUUCUAGAGU
rnacentral:lncRNA from 1 species